AUUGAACGCUGGCGGCAGGCCUAACACAUGCAAGUCGGGCGGAUGAAGGGAGCUUGCUCCUGGAUUCAGCGGCGGACGGGUGAGUAAUGCCUAGGAAUCUGCCUGGUAGUGGGGGAUAACGUCCGGAAACGGGCGCUAAUACCGCAUACGUCCUGAGGGAGAAAGUGGGGGAUCUUCGGACCUCACGUUAUCAGAUGAGCCUAGGUCGGAUUAGCUAGUUGGUGGGGUAAAGGCCUACCAAGGCGACGAUCCGUAACUGGUCUGAGAGGAUGAUCAGUCACACUGGAACUGAGACACGGUCCAGACUCCUACGGGAGGCAGCAGUGGGGAAUAUUGGACAAUGGGCGAAAGCCUGAUCCAGCCAUGCCGCGUGUGUGAAGAAGGUCUUCGGAUUGUAAAGCACUUUAAGUUGGGAGGAAGGGCAGUAAGUUAAUACCUUGCUGUUUUGACGUUACCAACAGAAUAAGCACCGGCUAACUUCGUG
rnacentral:rRNA from 1 species